rnacentral:rRNA from 1 species
UGAGUUUGAUCCUGGCUCAGAUUGAACGCUGGCGGCAUGCCUUACACAUGCAAGUCGAACGGCAGCACGGGAGCAAUCCUGGUGGCGAGUGGCGAACGGGUGAGUAAUAUAUCGGAACGUGCCCAGUCGUGGGGGAUAACGCAGCGAAAGCUGUGCUAAUACCGCAUACGAUCCAUGGAUGAAAGCGGGGGAUCGCAAGACCUCGCGCGAUUGGAGCGGCCGAUAUCAGAUUAGCUAGUUGGUGAGGUAAAGGCUCACCAAGGCGACGAUCUGUAGCUGGUCUGAGAGGACGACCAGCCACACUGGAACUGAGACACGGUCCAGACUCCUACGGGAGGCAGCAGUGGGGAAUUUUGGACAAUGGGCGCAAGCCUGAUCCAGCAAUGCCGCGUGCAGGAUGAAGGCCUUCGGGUUGUAAACUGCUUUUGUACGGAGCGAAAAGGCUUCUCCUAAUACGAGGGGCUCAUGACGGUACCGUAA